AUUGAACGCUGGCGGCAUGCCUUACACAUGCAAGUCGAACGGCAGCACGGGUGCUUUCACCUUGUGGCGAGUGGCGAACGGGUGAGUAAUACAUCGGAACAUGUCCUGUAGUGGGGGAUAGCCCGGCGAAAGCCGGAUUAAUACCGCAUACGAUCUACGUAUGACAGCGGGGGCCCUUCGGGCCUCGCGCUAUAGGGUUGGCCGAUGGCUGAUUAGCUAGUUGGUGGGGUAAAGGCCUAACAAGGAGAAGAUCAGGAGCUGGUCUGAGAGGGCGACCAGCCACAGUGGGACUGAGACGGGGCACAGACCCAUGGGGGAGGAAGCAGUGGGGAAUUUUGGAAAAUGGGCGAAAGCCUGAUACAGAAAUGCCGCGUGUGAGAAGAAGGCCUGGGGGUUGUAAAGCACUUUUGACGGAAAAAAAAUUCUGGGCCUAAAUACGGUCGGGGGAUGACGGUACAGGAAGAAGAAGACCCGUAUAACUAUG
rnacentral:rRNA from 1 species